GUCUACGGCCAUACCACCCUGAACGCGCCCGAUCUCGUCUGAUCUCGGAAGCUAAGCAGGGUCGGGCCUGGUUAGUACUUGGAUGGGAGAAUGUAUAAAAGUGGUAUCAUAUGUG
ensembl:rRNA 5S_rRNA 5S ribosomal RNA